rfam:Oryza glaberrima chromosome 6 Oglab06_0038_4, whole genome shotgun sequence.
GUCAAAAAAAAAAAAACGUCUCCGUGUCCAAUGUUUGACCGUCUGUCUUAUUUAAAAAAAUUAUGAAAAAAAUUUAAAAGAUAAGUCACGUAUAAAUUAUUAAUCAUGUUUUAUCAUCUAACAACAAUAAAAAUACUAAAUAUAAAAAAGUUUCAUAUAAGACGGAUGGUCAAACAUUGGCACGGAAAUUCAGGGUUUGUCUUUUU